UACGAAGGGGGCUAGCGUUGCUCGGAAUCACUGGGCGUAAAGCGCACGUAGGCGGCUUGUUAAGUCAGGGGUGAAAUCCUGGAGCUCAACUCCAGAACUGCCUUUGAUACUGACGAGCUUGAGUCCGGGAGAGGUGAGUGGAACUGCGAGUGUAGAGGUGAAAUUCGUAGAUAUUCGCAAGAACACCAGUGGCGAAGGCGGCUCACUGGCCCGGUACUGACGCUGAGGUGCGAAAGCGUGGGGAGCAAACAGG
rnacentral:rRNA from 1 species